rnacentral:rRNA from 1 species
GACGAACGCUGGCGGCGUGCCUAAUACAUGCAAGUUGAGCGCUGAAGGUUGGUACUUGUACCAACUGGAUGAGCAGCGCACGGGUGAGUAACGCGUGGGGAAUCUGCCUUUGAGCGGGGGACAACAUUUGGAAACGAAUGCUAAUACCGCAUAAAAACUUUAAACACAAGUUUUAAGUUUGAAAGAUGCCAUUGCAUCACUCAAAGAUGAUCCCGCGUUGUAUUAGCUAGUUGGUGAGGUAAAGGCUCACCAAGGCGAUGAUACAUAGCCGACCUGAGAGGGUGAUCGGCCACAGUGGGACUGAGACACGGCCCAAACUCCUACGGGAGGCAGCAGUAGGGAAUCUUCGGCAAUGGACGAAAGUCUGACCGAGCAACGCCGCGUGAGGGAAGAAUGUUUUCGGAUCGUAAAACUCUGUUGGUAGAGAAGAACGUUGGUGAGAGUGGAAAGCUCAUCAAGUGACGGUAACUACCCAGAAAGGGACGGCUAACUACGUG